AUAAACAUGGUUAUGCUUUAUAAAAAGUUAGAAGCUUUUUUUAAAAAAUAUUUCUUU
rnacentral:tRNA from 1 species